CCUACGGGUGGCAGCAGUGAGGAAUAUUGGUCAAUGGGCGAGAGUCUGAACCAGCCAAGUCGCGUGAAGGAUGACUGCCCUAUGGGUUGUAAACUUCUUUUAUAUGGGAAUAAUAUGUUUUACGAGUGGAGUUUUGUCUGUACCAUACGAAUAAGGAUCGGCUAACUCCGUGCCAGCAGCCGCUGUAAUACGGAGGCUCCGAGCGUUAUCCGGGUUUAUUGGGUUUAAAGGGUGCGUAGGUGGCUUUUUAAGGCAGGUGUUAAAGUUUGCGGCUUAAACUGAAUAACGCCAUUAAUACUGUCGAUCUAGAGAACAGUAGAGGUAGGCGGAAGUCGUUAAGUAGCGGUGAAAUGCUGAGAUAUAACGUAGAACACCGAUAGCGAAGGCAGCUCACUAGACUGCAACUGACGCUGAGGCACGAGAGCAUGGGUAGCGAACAGGAUUAGAUACCCGAGUAGUC
rnacentral:rRNA from 1 species